rnacentral:rRNA from 2 species
GAACUUCUGGUAUUGAUUGGUGCUUGCAUUCAUGAUUACAUCUUGAGUGAGUGGCGAACUUGGUGAGUAACACGUGGGAAACCUUGCCCAGAAGCGGGGGAUAACACCUGGAAACAGAUGCUAAUACCGCAUAACAACUUGGACCGCAUGGUCCGAGUUUGAAAGAUGGCUUCGGCUAUCACUUUUGGAUGGUCCCGCGGCGUAUUAGCUAGAUGGUGGGGUAACGGCUCACCAUGGCAAUGAUACGUAGCCGACCUGAGAGGGUAAUCGGCCACAUUGGGACUGAGACACGGCCCAAACUCCUACGGGAGGCAGCAGUAGGGAAUCUUCCACAAUGGACGAAAGUCUGAUGGAGCAACGCCGCGUGAGUGAAGAAGGGUUUCGGCUCGUAAAACUCUGUUGUUAAAGAAGAACAUAUCUGAGAGUAACUGUUCAGGUAUUGACGGUAUUUAACCAGAAAGCCACGGCUAACUACGUGCCAGCAGCCGCGGUAAUACGUAGGUGGCAAGCGUUGUCCGGAUUUAUUGGGCGUAAAGCGAGCGCAGGCGGUUUUUUAAGUCUGAUGUGAAAGCCUUCGGCUCAACCGAAGAAGUGCAUCGGAAACUGGGAAACUUGAGUGCAGAAGAGGACAGUGGAACUCCAUGUGUAGCGGUGAAAUGCGUAGAUAUAUGGAAGAACACCAGUGGCGAAAGCGGCUGUCUGGUCUGUAACUGACGCUGAGGCUCGAAAGUAUGGGUAGCAAACAGGAUUAGAUACCCUGGUAGUCCAUACCGUAACGAUGAAUGCUAAGUGUUGGAGGGUUUCGCCCUUCAGUGCUGCAGCUACGCAU